UGGGGAAUCUUGCACAAUGGGGGAAACCCUGAUGCAGCGACGCCGCGUGAACGAUGAAGCCCUUCGGGGUGUAAAGUUCUUUCGACCGGAACGAUAAUGACGGUACCGGGAGAAGAAGCUGCGGCUAACUACGUGCCAGCAGCCGCGGUAAUACGUAGGCAGCAAGCGUUGUUCGGAGUUACUGGGCGUAAAGAGUGCGUAGGCGGUUUUCUAAGUUCGGUGUGAAAUCUCCCGGCUUAACUGGGAGGGUGCGCCGAAGACUGGGAAGCUGGAGUGUGGGAAAGGCAGGCGGAAUUCCUGGUGUAGCGGUGAAAUGCGUAGAUAUCAGGAGGAACACCGGCGAUGUAGACGGCUUGCUAGACCAUAACUGACGCUGAGGCACGAAAGCGUGGGUAGCAAACA
rnacentral:rRNA from 1 species